AUGGUUAGGCUUUUAAUUGACCAGAUGAGGAAAAAGCAUCUCAUCAGCGCAAAACAGGCACACUACCUAUACGGCCCGGAUCUCCCUGGGGCGAGAUUAUUUUACCUUCUCCCCAAAAUACAUAAACCCCCAGAGAAUUGGACUGUUCCAUUCGUGGUUCCUCCAGGACGCCCCAUAGUUAGCGACUGUGGCUCCGAAUCAUACCACCUGGCGGAGUUCAUAGACUUUUACAUUAACCCCCUAUCUCACACUCACCCGAGCUACCUUAAGGACACAUACACCUUUGUCAACAAGUUGAAGAAUCUCACCGUCCCUGAUAACACGUUUAUCUUUUCAAUCGACGUUGACUCCUUGUACACGAACGUCGACACUGUCCUGGGCCUCGAGGCUGUGAAGAAAGCAUUGUCUUCGUCACCGGAUUCAUCUCGUCCCAACACAUUUAUUUUAAAGUUUUUAGAAAUUACCCUUACCUGCAACAACUUAUUAUUUGAAAAAUCCUUCUUUCUACAAAUAUGCGGCUGCGCAAUGGGAAGGAAAUAUUCACCGGCCUACACAGACAUCUAUCUGGCAGACUGGGAGGAAUCUGCAUUCCUUAAAUGCCCGUCACGCCCCCUAGUCUAUUUCCGUUACUUAGAUGAUAUCUUUGGCCUCUGGGACGAAUCAGAAACAGAAUUUAACCAUUUUAUACAUAUCCUUAACUCACACCACCCCCGUAUCAAACUCAAACACACUCUCCAUCUCCAGCAGGUCCCCUUCCUAGACACAGUAGUUUUCUUCACAGACACGAAGGAUGGACACAAAACAUUAGCAACCAAGGUUUAUUUUAAAGACACUGACAGGCAUUCCUUAUUAUUUAACACCAGCUACCAUCCCAGGCAUACUUUCAGCUCCAUCAUCAAGUCCCAACUAAUCCGUUUCCACCGCAUCUGCUCUCUACCUCAUCACGUAGAGGAGGCCACCAGGACCCUUUUCAAGGCCCUCAGACCUCGCGGCUAUUCCAAACGUUUUUUUCUGACUAUUAAAGGGGAAGUGACCGCCCUCUUCCAGCCAGGCCGGCCCGUUCUCCCUGAAAAAAGGAACACAGAACAAAAGUUAAUUCCAUUAAUUACUACAUUUUCGCGACAACUAGGCCCCCUCAAGCAAGCUAAAAAGCAACAUUUUAAUUCUGCUAUACCUCAAACCGCCCCACUCGCUUCUUUUAAAAUACUAAUGUCCUACCACCGUAAUAAAAACCUACAGGACAUUUUAGUCCAUACGACUCCCCACUUCUCCCUUACCCCACUCUUCUCACCCUCUCUAACUCUAAACCCUUCAACGUCCUAUCACCCCUCUGCCCUCUGGGUUUGA
rnacentral:lncRNA from 1 species